AGUGAACGCUGGCGGUAGGCCUAACACAUGCAAGUCGAACGGCAGCACAGUAAGAGCUUGCUCUUACGGGUGGCGGGUGGCGGACGGGUGAGGAAUACAUCGGAAUCUACUUUUUCGUGGGGGAUAACGUAGGGAAACUUACGCUAAUACCGCAUACGACCUACGGGUGAAAGCAGGGGAUCUUCGGACCUUGCGCGAUUGAAUGAGCCGAUGUCGGAUUAGCUAGUUGGCGGGGUAAAGGCCCACCAAGGCGACGAUCCGUAGCUGGUCUGAGAGGAUGAUCAGCCACACUGGAACUGAGACACGGUCCAGACUCCUACGGGAGGCAGCAGUGGGGAAUAUUGGACAAUGGGCGCAAGCCUGAUCCAGCCAUACCGCGUGAGUGAAGAAGGCCUUCGGGUUGUAAAGCCCUUUUGUUGGGAAAGAAAAGCAGCAGGUUAAUACCCCGCUGUUCUGACGGUACCCAAAGAAUAAGCACCGGCUAACUUCGUG
rnacentral:rRNA from 1 species